rnacentral:rRNA from 1 species
AGUCGAACGGUAACAUUGGUGCUUGCACCAGAUGACGAGUGGCGAACGGGUGCGUAACGCGUAUGCAACCUACCUCUUAUUAAGGAAUAGCUCAGAGAAAUUUGAAUUAAUACCUUAUAAUAUCUUAAAGCCGCAUGGUUUAAAGAUUAAAGAAUUUCGAUAAGAGAUGGGCAUGCGUGAUAUUAGCUAGUUGGUAAGGUAACGACUUACCAAGGCAACGAUAUCUAGGGGGUCUGAGAGGAUGAUCCCCCACACUGGUACUGAGACACGGACCAGACUCCUACGGGAGGCAGCAGUGAGGAAUAUUGGACAAUGGGCGAAAGCCUGAUCCAGCCAUGCCGCGUGAAGGAUGAAUGCCCUAUGGGUUGUAAACUUCUUUUAUACAGGAAGAAACCUUUGGAUUUAUCCAGAGCUGACAUUACUGUACGAAUAAGCAUCGGCUAACUCCGUGCCAGCAGCCGCGGUAAU